GCGUUUUAAACAUUCAGCAUGUUGUCCGCUCUCUUAUUCAAGUAGUUUUCAUCCGAUCUUCACCAAACUUGGUCAGAAGUUGUAUCUAGAUAAUUUUAAGGCCAUGUUCGAACAUGGGCCUUGCCGGGUCAAAAACUAGGUCACGGGGUCACUUAGUACGUUUUACACAUUGAGCAUGGUGUCCGCUCUCUAUUUCAAGUAGUUUAAAUCCGAUCUUCACCACACUUGGUCAGAAGUUGUAACUAGAUGAUGUGUAGGUCAAGUUCGAACAUGGGCCAUGCCGGAUCAAAAACUAGGUCACGGGGUCACUUAGUGUGUUUUAAACCUCACCAUGUUGUCUGCUCUCUAAUUCAAGUAGUUUUUAUCCAAUCUUCACCAAAAUUGGUCAGAAGUUGUAUCUUGAUAAUGUCUAGAGCAAGUUUGAAUAUGGGUGAUGCCGGGUCAAAAACAAGGUCACGGGGUCACUUAGGGCGUUUUAAACAUCACAAUGUUGUCCGCUCUCUAAUUCAAUUAGUUUUCAUCCAAUCUUCACCAAACUUGGUCAGAAGUUGUAUCUAUAUGAUGUCUAGGUCAAGUUUGAAUAUGGGUCAUGCCGGGUCAAAAACUAGGUCACGGGGUAUCUUAGUGCAUUUUAAACCUCACCAUGUUGUCCGAUCUCUAAUUCAAGUAGUUUUCAUCCAAUCCUCGCCAAACUUGGUCACAAGUUUUAUCUAAAUGAUGUCUAGGACAAGUUUGAACAUGGGCCAUUCCGGGCCUAAAACUAGGUCACGGGGUC